UAUACACAUGAUAUUUGCUUCUUCUUUUAUGACAAGGAAAACUCAGUGCUGAUGGUCAACAACUUACAAACUGUAUGGUGACUUCUAUCUCUACAUGAACGUGACAAUACAUAUCAAAAGAUAAGCAAGUCAGCAAGACUCAGAAUUAUUUAGAUACAUCUCUCUUAUUUCCUCUGUUUAUUGAAGAGUUUUCUUCAAAGAGAAAAGAAGGUAAUAAAUACUAGUAUGAUGUUGCAAUUGUGCUCAUAUACAAGUAGUUGCUAUAUAUUUCAAUGGAAUUUGAAGAUGAGGCUAAUCCACUGGGAUUUCCACCUCCAUUUUCAAUCCUGGAUGUUCCAGUAUCUGCAUCAAAAAUCAAAACCUAAACUCAAUCAGAAAACACUAUCAUGAUCAGAGUUAUUACGUUCAUUCAAACCUUUUCUAGAGAAAAAAAAAAAAAGACUAAGAGGAAAAUGGUUAAGAGAGAUGAACCUUGACGAAGUCGUCCAACAGAAGAGAAGACUCUUUUGUGUAACCAGCUUCUUGCAACAGCUGACUUAGAACUUCCUGCAAUCAGAGGAGCUACUGAGGAAAGUUCGGUUUUGCCAUAGCUUCUGCGUGCAUUUAUUCCACGUCUAUGCCUUCAACUAAACCACAAAGACUAGGCCAGAAGGGCAAACAGAAAAAAAUUUGGUGCCAGUAACUUUCUUAAGCUAUUUAAACACUACCGAAUAGCAGAAACCCCUUGACUAUGAGAACCCGAAUCAAACUUCUUGGCCACACAACCACAUAACUUCAGCAUAAACUCAUUCAAUACGCAAAAAGUAAACUGAUAGUGGUAGUUUAGCUCAAUCUUAGUUAACAGCAAACAUGCAUCACAAAAUUAAAUCACCUCCACUAUAAAAUGUUGCGCACUAUAAUACCUCUCGCUGCUUGUCUGAUAUAAACGUGCCACUCAAAUCCUGGAGCACUUCUAUUAGGUCUUUGAAAGUCACCUUCCCGUUGCAAUCAGAAUCGUAUACUUUAAAGAUAACUGGACAAGAACAAGAGAAAGUCAAGGGACCAUAUGAGGAGACUGAUAGAAAUCAGAAGAAGGGAAAGAAUAGGCAAACACUAAUGCACCUUUUAACAAAAAACACUUUGUAAUUGAGCUCAGGCAGUUAGACAACUUAGAGGUACCAUCAACUACAGAAGAAAAUAAUGAUGAAACUCUAGCAAUAUCCUACUAAUUUUUGCAAAGUUUUACGGAGCACUGACAGAUUUAGUAUUUGAUAUGAUCAAGAACAGUGAAUAAUUGUACUAAUUCUGGUGAAGUCGACAUAUGAUAUUCACAUUUUCAGGUGAUCUCCCUUAACAGUCAACAUGUUUAUCAGUUUUAAUUCCUUUGAAUUGUAUUAUCCAACUUGAUUUAUCAUCAAGGAAUCCCAUAUAAUUGCAGAGCAAGUGAGAGCUAUCAAAGUUUAAUAACCUCAAUAUUAAGCCAUUUAAUGGAAACUCAAUAUCAUAUCACUGAAAUAAAUUUCAGAAAGCACUGGGACUUAAUUCUACCAAAAUCACAUAUUCAUGGUAGAUUGUUAGAAAAACCAACUCUAUAAGCAAUGCAUCAAUCACUCCCUUAAAAAAGCCUAGCUGAGCCACGACGCUUACUCUCGAUUUUCUGUGGUACAGUUGCUUUAGCACUGAAAGCAGACAAGAAUGCAACAAAGUCCUUGAAAUUCAGCCCAUCUGCCAUUUUAAGCAACCUCUG